rnacentral:misc_RNA from 1 species
GAUGAAGAACGCAGCGAAAUGCGAUAAGUAAUGUGAAUUGCAGAAUUCAGUGAAUCAUCGAACCUUUGAACGCACAUUGCGCCCGCCAGUAUUCUGGCGGGCAUGCCUGUUCGAGCGUCAUUUCAACCAUCAAGCCCCAGGCUUGUGUAGGGGACCUGCGGCUGCCGCAGGCCCUGAAAACCAGUGGCGGGCUCGCUGUCACACCGGGCGUAGUAGAUUUUAUCUCGCUCAGGGCGUGCUGCGGGUUCCGGCCGUUAAAAAGCCUUUUUUACCCAAGGUUGACCUCGGAUCAGGUAGGAAGACCCGCUGAACUUAAGCAUAUCAAUAAGCGGAGGA